GUACCGUACGAACGUUAUUCGGAAUCACUGGGCUUAAAGGGUGCGUAGGCGGUGCGGUCAGUUCGGGGUGUGAAAUCCCUCGGGCUCAACCGAGGAACGGCGCCCAAUACUGCCGUACUCGAGGGAGACAGAGGUAAGCGGAACUGAUGGUGGAGCGGUGAAAUGCGUUGAUAUCAUCAGGAACACCAGUAGCGAAAGCGGCUUACUGGGUCUCUUCUGACGCUGAGGCACGAAAGCUAGGGUAGCGAACGGGAUUAGAUACCCCGGUAGUCCUAGCUGUAAACGAUGAGCACUUGGUCGGAGACUCCUCCAUAGGUUUCCGGUCGUAGCGAAAGUGUUAAGUGCUCCGCCUGGGGAGUAUGGUCGCAAAGGCUG
rnacentral:rRNA from 1 species